CCUACGGGAGGCAGCAGUGGGGAAUAUUGCGCAAUGGGCGAAAGCCUGACGCAGCGACGCCGCGUGAGGGAUGAAGGUCUUCGGAUCGUAAACCUCUGUCAGCAGGGAAGAACGGUCACUGUGCUAAUCAGCAGUGAAUUGACGGUACCUGCAAAGGAAGCACCGGCUAACUCCGUGCCAGCAGCCGCGGUAAUACGGAGGGUGCGAGCGUUAAUCGGAAUUACUGGGCGUAAGGCGCUCGUAGGCGGUAUGUCAAGUCAAGGGUGAAAUCCCCGCGCUCAACGUGGGAACUGCCUUUGAAACGGGCAAACUGGAGUGUGUGAGAGGAUAGUGGAAUUCCAGGUGUAGGAGUGAAAGCCGUAGAUAUCUGGAGGAACAUCAGUGGCGAAGGCGACUAUCUGGCACAUAACUGACGCUGAGGAGCGAAAGCGUGGGUAGCAAACAGGAUUAGAUACCCGGGUAGUC
rnacentral:rRNA from 1 species